rnacentral:lncRNA from 1 species
GGGUGGACUAUAUAAGAAUCAACGAAGUUGUCACUAUCGCGAACUACCACACGACCCGACCAAUAGGAUACAUUUGCAGGUAAAUAACAUCUAAGCACCACGUCCACAUGUGAUCUACCACUUAACUCCCUCACAUCGAAAGCUAAGCGCUUUGCAAACUUAUACAUAAACUCAUUAUCAAUCAUAACUAUAUCAAAUAUAGAACUAGAGCAAACUAAGAUCAUAAUAAAUAGAGACAUAAUGUAAUUAGAACAAAGUAUUAGAGAAAGAUAUGAAUAAUACCAAUCUUUAUUACCGAAGAUCCGAAUCCAGAGCGUAGUGCUCUACUUCUCUAAUUGCUAUCUAAUCAAACCUCUAAACUUGAAGGCUUAGGGAGUAGCUAAUUCUAAUUCUCUGUGGGAGAGAAGCUCUAAACCCUAACUUUGAUGGCUACCUCUGAUAAUGAUUUCUUCUCUUCUUCUCUCUCCUCCAGGGGUGGAGAGGCCUUGGUUAUAUAGUCCUUUCAAGUGAAUUUGGGCCGUUGGAUCAAACCGACAUUGAUUGUAUGGUUUAGAUUCAUCCUUUAGGUUGGUGGAGCUUAGUCCCGAAAGAGAGUCCUGAUUGGACUCUAACCCUGGGCAAGCGCCCAAGGGGGGUGGGCGGGUGCCCUGCCCCCGAGCCCGAUCGUCUUCUCGUUCGUUCCCGUGGCUUCUGGACUCUUCUAGAUUGAGGAAAAUUGUGCGGCACGUAAUUAUCUCGUUGUAAACAAGACAUGUGGGCCUUCUCUCCAUAUUCUCUGAUAACCCCCUGCAGAAAUAGAUAAACACCAAAGCUCAUGGAAUUCUAUCAGAUAAAACCCUAAUUCUAGAUGUUUGGUGCAUAUUGAUCCUUUUCAUGUUUAGUUGAUGGUUAAAUUUAGUACUUAAGGACCGUCAACAAACUCCCCCAAGCUUACCCUUUGCUCAUCCCUGAGCAAACAGCUAAACUCAGAUGGAUCAGGAGUUGGUUCGAUGUUUUCUUUCCUGACAGGCACACAUGCUUUCACAUAAAAUUCUUCUAGAUUAGAGUGAAGUGUCAUGAAGCUUAGUACCUGCACUUAAGUCUUAAGUAAUCGAAAGACAAAAUAAUUAAGUCAAGCACUAUUCCUCCUGUCUAUACUUCACCUUUGUUCCAGAGUUUUUCAUAAGUUUUCAAAAUAAAACUCAGAGUUUCCAGCAAUGAUUCUCUCAAGUCUCUCUAUAUGUGGUAUUUGUGGAUCUUUACCAAAAUGUCACUUACCUAUAGCUAAUGGAAUAUUUAAGUGGAGCUCGUAGGAGUGAAAAACAGCUCAUACAUAUGUUGUCUAAUCGAGCCAUGGAUCCAAAAGAACUCAGCAUAUAAUUAAGAUGUGCAUGUGUGGUGGAGUAAAUGAUAGUGAUGGUAAAAAUGUAUAAGUGAUAAUAAAACUUACUUCUCAUUGCUCCUCAUAUUACUAUUUCUCCUCUUCUUUGAUCUUUGCUUUGGGAGAACAUGGGCUAUCUUUUUCUCUUUUUUUUUCAAGUGGGUAGUAGACACCCCUAAUUCUACUAUCUGACACUUGCCCAUUUUUUCCACUCAGGUGGGCAUCUUUGUACCCCUAAUUCUACUCCAGACACUUGUCCAUUUUUACCUCUCGUCUCACUCUUUUUUUUCUUUUUCCGAGGUUCCGGGCACUUGCCCCUUUUUAUUUCCUCGCAUAUUUUUGCAUAACCCAUGCCUCUUCUACAUUGAAUCUUUUAGAGAGAGAAUAACAAUACUUGGAACAGUGAGUGAUAAUAUUUUUAGCAAUUUUUAAUAAGUGGUGGUGGAUGGCGUAGUAGAUGUGUGCAAGUGAAUGUCUUAAUUUAACCACAUGAAAAGCUCCUAAGGGUCUACACAACUCGAUCAAACUCAAUGUGAAUAUAUGUAGCUAAAGAUGUUAUAGCAAGUAUGGCUGUGGUAGGAAUUUUGUAAUGCUAGGAACUCAUCAUGUGAUUUGCAAGUUUUCAAAAUAAAUCUCCAGAACUUAGUGUAGUAGGAACAAGAUAAACAGUAGCUCAAACUUUAUAUCAUGCCUUUCUCUUACCUAGACUUUAGUUUUAUGCUUCCCAAAGAUAGUAAUUUCAGUUUUAAUAAUUCCUGGAAGAACUCUAAUAUAAAAGCUAGGUACUUGAAAGUAAGCAAACAGAGCAACUAUUCAUCAUUUCCAUCAUGCAUCUUUUUGGUCUUUUUAUUUUUCUAGAGAUUAACACUUAGC